GACGUAGGGUCCAAGCGUUGUCCGGAUUUACUGGGCGUAAAGAGCGCGUAGGCGGCUCGUUAAGUGUAGAGUGAAAUCUCUGGGCUCACCCCAGAAACUGCUCUGCAUACUGGCGAGCUGGAGUGAUGAAGAGGUUUGUGGAAUUCCUGGUGUAACGGUGAAAUGUGUUGAUAUCAGGAGGAACACCCAUGGCGAAGGCAGCAAACUGGUCAUCAACUGACGCUGAGGCGCGAAAGCGUGGGUGGCAAACAGG
rnacentral:rRNA from 1 species